AUGCAAAUUAAGAAAACUUUCACAGCGUGACAUAGGAGUGAUGGGAGGAUUCACAGAGCCAGGAACCCGCACACAACUGGCUUGAGCGUCCACUGGGGCGAUGACCUCCAAGAUCCUGGCCAGCACCCGAGCAGUGUUUGCUGGGAGCACGCACACCUCCAGCCCAGGAACUUUCCUCCCAGAUGUACCCCCUGGAGCUCUGCUGGGUAAAGUGUGGCCCAGGGACCAGUGUCGGAAUCUGCAUAUCAACAGGGUCUGCGGUCGCUCGCGAGGGUGACACCUGGGGAGGCCGCCCAGAGAUCCUGCCCCCGAGCUCCGUGAGACACGUCAACAGGGUCUGCAGUCGCUUGUGAGUGCAACACCUGGGGAGGCCGCAUAGAGACCCUGCCGCUGAGCUCCGUGAGACACACACCGUCACAUGUACUCCAGCCUCGUCUGCGACUAGAAACAGAGAACCCUGCACAUCUGCAAGGCACAGAAAUUAACGCUGGUGCCUUCAUAUUGUGCAAUAACAAACUGCGGUUAACCUGAAUGAAGCCGACCUAUAGAAUCAAAAAGAUAGUUCUGGAAAACAUAAAAGAGCAAGUUGUAGCACAUGACGUUUUACAAAGAUUAAAACAGCAUUCACCCAAAAGAUGGCCAGUCACCCACGGCCGCACAGGUACAGUGUGGACGUGCAGCAGAGCCAAGGACGGGGCACCUGGCAGCCAGAGGGACAGGCACGUCUUAGGAGGAAAGGUCUGCGGUGCUCCUUUCUUUAAAAAGAAAUAGAAACGAUCUGAGGCAAAUAUGGCAUCGGGUUUCCCUCCACUCAUUUAUACUCCUCUGGGAUUUAAUUUUCAAAUUAAUAAGCAAACAAGACAGGUGAAAUGGGAUUCCCUAGGAUUUGAUAGCCGUAACCACAUGCUUGGUGUCAGAAGCUCCGUAGAGAGCAUUGAGGAGAUGAAGCCCAACUUUUUAGAAGCCAAUUUUCCGAGAUACCUCAAGACACUUUGUCUUGGUCUCCUCUUCCUAGAAGAACAUUCUUUAAAAAAAAAAAAAAUAGAAACCGCCUGAUGUGCAAAGAUGUUUAUAAGAAGAAAAAACUAAAAGCAAGUCAAAUGUCCCAGUAACAUGGCAGGUGUGAGUCGCAGCACGGCGCCGCCGAGGAGACCAAACCCACCCACGGCAUGAGCGUGAGUCGCUGCAAAGGGCAAAGGUGUGCGCCACAAAGCACCAGAGACCCCCAGGCCCCUGCGGCCUGGGGCCCCAGCCGCACCAGCUCUCAUUCCUGCCCCGCCACA
rnacentral:lncRNA from 1 species